UACGUAGGGUGCAGGCGUUAAUCGGAAUUACUGGGCGUAAAGCGCGCGUAGGCGGUUACUUAAGUCGGAUGUGAAAGCCCCUCGGCUUAACCGAGGAAGUGCAUCCGAAACUGAGUAGCUAGAGUACUAAAGAGGGUCGACGGAAUUCCCGGUGUAGAGGUGAAAUUCGUAGAUAUCGGGAGGAACACCGGUGGCGAAGGCGGCGACCUGGGUAGAUACUGACGCUGAGGCGCGAAAGCGUGGGGAGCAAACAGGG
rnacentral:rRNA from 1 species